rnacentral:rRNA from 1 species
UACGAAGGGGGCUAGCGUUGCUCGGAAUUACUGGGCGUAAAGCGCACGUAGGCGGCUUCUUAAGUCGGUGGUGAAAUCCUGGAGCUCAACUCCAGAACUGCCUUCGAUACUGGGAAGCUUGAGUCCGGGAGAGGUGAGUGGAAUUCCCAGUGUAGAGGUGAAAUUCGUAGAUAUUGGGAAGAACACCGGUGGCGAAGGCGGCUCACUGGCUCAUUUCUGACGCUCAUGCACGACAGCCGUGGGGAUCAAACAGG